UUGACUCGAAGGAGUGUUUUUAGAGAGUCUUUAAAUAAUAAUAAUGAUUUUGCUAGUGGAAAAUCAGUUCAGCUCUUUGCCACAUUUGAGUCCUAUAGGAUUCUCUUGUUCUUAGAGGUUGUAAAUAUUUUUGGAACUUGUGUUAGAAGAGAUUCAGGCAAACAUAAUUACAGAAGAAAUAUCUCUGGAAAAAACAGUUUAUUGAUUAGUUGAAAUAUACUCUUUUUUCCCUUCUCUGUUCCCUAUCCCCACCUUGAACUUACUGUCCUCUCUUACUCUCACUGGGGCAGUCUUCGUUGCUUUAAUAUUCCCUUGGAGUGAUGAUGCAACAGGAUAGUAAUUCUUCAUCAGAUUAUAGGGAAACCUUCAGAAACAUUCGGCACAUGAUUGCUUCAUUAGGAAGAAGUUACUCACCGGGCUUGACAUGUUUUACUUAGAAAACAUUCAUUAGUUUUCAAUGUAGGUUUUUUGAGUGUUGUUCUGUUUUCUUCUACUCAAAGAGUAGAAGCAUUAUGCUGUGUGAAACAAGCCAAACACAAAGGACAGGUAUCAUGUGAUUCCCCUUACUAGUACAUGAGCUAUCUAGAAUGGAAAAUUCAGAGAGACAGAAAGUAGAGGAGAGGUUACCAGGGGCUGUGGAAAAUAGAAAUGGUAGUUACUAUUUAACGGGUACAGAGUUUGUUUGGGUGAUGAUGAAUAAGUUCUGGAAAUACAUAGUAGUGAUGGUUGUACAUAUUAUGAUUGUACUUAAUGCCAAUAAAUUAUAUAUAUUAAGUGGUAAAUUUUAUGUUGUGUAUAUUUUGCCCCAAUAUAGAAAAGUAUUUUGAAACAGGGCUAGAUAAAAAGUAUUUCAUUUUAGUGGUCCUCUAACUUGGCUGCACAAUAGAAUCACUUGGGGAACUUAAAUCCUAGUGCCAGGCCACACUUCAGACCAAUUAAAUCAGAAUCUCUGGGGAUGAGAUCCAGGCAUCUGUAGGUUUAAUGUCCCAAGGCAAUUCCAAUGUGCAACCAACUUUGAAACUGCUGCUUCUUACUAUAGUGUCAGCAUCUAUAUGCAAGGUUUUCCUUACUGUCUAAAAUUAUUUUUUUUUAAGUGUUUAUGGAUAUGGUACCAUUCCACAUUUUGUAAAUAUUAGAUAGGGAGGAUGAGGUUAAGAGAAUAUAAAAGUAACAAAAAACUCCUCUUAAAUAGGACAUAGCUUAUUGUGACUAGAGUAAAAAAAAAUAAGGGUAUAUUUAGGAAUACUAGGGGGAGGGAAUACUAGGCACAUAAAUUUCAUAUUCAAGAUAUAACUAGACUAGGGGAAAAUACUUACAAAUUAUAUGACAAAAAUUAAUGUUCAGAAUAGAUUAAUAUUUUCUUCAAA